UCACACACACUCCACAUAAACGUGAACGCCUGCAGACGACGAGCAGGAUGGAGGAGGAGGCUGCAUCGCGGCGCUCUGUUGCUGAACUUGCCGGUCGAUUCAAAGGCUCAGCUCCUCCACACGACGCCGCCGGAGAGAAAACCGAUAAACCAGUGAGACGGCGACCUCCUCGUUCCUUACAGCUCCCCAAACCCCAGACAGACGACCGGGAGCCAACAGGUGUCACCUCUCCUCUACCUGCCAAAGCCAAGAGGAACUCAGCUCUGAUCGAGAAGCUGCAGGCCAACCUGGCCCUCUCUCCCACGGCGUUACUCCCGUCUCCAAAGAGCCCCGGGUUCAGGCUGCUGCCUCCGGCCUUCCCCCCUCAGUCUCCUGGAUCCGCCCCUGCUACCACACCAACCCCAUCCACGCCAGCCCCCGUCAGCCCCGUCGUAGCUCCGCCUUUAACCAAAGAGGAAGGCCCCGCCUCCUUUGAAGACCCUCCCACAACAGCAGAGGGGUCCAUCCUGUCAAACAUCAACAAGGGCCGAGCUCGCCACUCCAUUCGACGACGCCCACCGUCCCGCCGCCACAGGAAGUCCAGCAGCGGGGAUGAAGUUGCCAACGAGGGAGUGGAAACCUGUCUGAGCUCGACGAGAGAGCAGGGUGACAAAACUAGAGAAGAAGGAGGAGGAGGAGGAGGGGAGAGGGAGGAAGAUCAAGCUGAGGAGGUGAAGGAGGAACAAAAAGAUGCUUCAGCAACAAAUGAAACCAAAGAAGAAGAGAAGUCGGAGAUCAACGUAGAGCCGAGAGAAGAAGAGAAGAAGGAUGGAGAGAUCACAUCUACCAGAGGAGGAGAGGAGGAGAAGUCUUCAUCAGGGAGAAAAGAGGAGGAGGAGGGGAACAAUGGAGGAAAACAGGAUGAAGAUUCAACUAAAGGGGUGCCGAACACAGAGAGCAGAGAAGAAAAGAGCGAGUUUGGAUGCUGCUGAUGAGGAGGGUCUCCUAAAGAACGACUGACAGAGAAGAAAAAGAGGAAGAAGUCCAUCUGCUUCACAGAUGUCCACUCCUACAGACUUCAGGACCUCAAGGGGCUCCAGCCGUCUCCUAUCAGACAGUCCAGAACAGAGAGGGGGGACAGGAAACUGUCUUCAUCUGUGUGCAGAAAGGUAAAACCCAGAACAUCCCAGCAGAGACAGAGGGGUGGAGGACUUCCUGAUCUCCCAGAGACAAUCACAGUCCUCUCCAGAUCCACAACAGUCCGGCUCACAGCUCAGUUUACUGCAUGCAUGCCGGAUGCUCUGAUGAGUGUAAAAACUUCUGAGAAGCUGAAUCACUCCAGUCUUUUUCACCAGCAUGGAUCUAAAAGCAGCGCGUUGGCAGGAUGAGUUGAUCAGAUUAUGGACCUGGAAGUUGUUUCUGAGUAAAGCUCACUCUGCUUCAGGUGUUGGUAGAGUCUCCAUCUCCUCAUUAGAUCAGCAUCUAACAUCAUGUCAGCCUGAAUACUCUCAUUUUAACUGCACAAUCACUUUUAUUUACUCCCUGCUGGCUCUGGGCUCAGGUUUCCUUCCUGACUGUGGUGUCAUGUUAGCAGAUCGACCUCACAGAGCAGAUGGUGAGCAGGAGCAGCGUUUCCUGCUGAACUGAGCUGUAUGUAGCGGUACGGACGAACAUCCCGAAAGACUCAUUCAGAAAUGUCAUAACUGUGUUGUAUCUGAUGCACCUGGCCAGGUCUCACCUGAAUGAGAGAUGCUCAUCUAAAGCAGGAGACCGGGGACCCCCAAAAUAAAGGUGCCAGAGACCUGGGACACCCCCCCCCACCCCCCGUACCUGGAGGUGGUUGGACACAGCCAUGGACAUUCUAGAGGUGGGGGGACAAGAGGGAGAGCUUUCUGGGGCCCACCUAAACUGGGGGCCCAUGAAGGUCAGCAAAGCCAUGGUCCACUUCACAGUUAAGUUACAAUAACCAUAUUUUAUAUUAAACCUGAAUAAAAACAAUUCUUAACAGAGCAAUAAAUACCUUUUUUAUCCAUUUGUGCUGUAGUAAAUAGUCUUCUUAAAAAUCUGCAUAGUUAUUCCUAAAAACAGAAUUAAAAUGGAUUGAAAAUAGCUCGAAUGGGUUAAAAUGGCAAAUAUUGGUGGAAAAGGUAGUGAAAUGGGAUUUUAAAGUAGAAGAAAAGGGUUAGGAUGCCAAAAAUAGAUAAGAGAAGCAGCAAUAAAUGGCCAAAAUAGGCAUAAGAAGUGGUAAAAGGGGAUUUAAGUGACCGUCCCAUAGACUUACAAGAUGGUGAGCUUCGGGCAUGUUAAUGUUCCUAAAUCAGAUAUUUAUCUGCUAAAAUACAAAUGAAUGAAGAAGACGAAUAUCAGCUACAGUUUCAAUAGAGCCCUCGCUCUGAGGCCAGUACUCAGAUCCUGAUCAAUAAAGUUUUAACCUGGAAUAGCCCUGCCUAAAAACUAAAAGUGGUACUUCAAAUGAGUGUCUCCACUCCAGUCUGAUAGUUAGGAGUCCAAACACUAAGAAUAAAAGUCUGAUCUGAUUUGUGGAGAGGUACUUUGGCUCUGUCCUCAAUAAGGUUAAUCUAUGUGGGGAUCUUGGUUAUAAAACCGGGAGUACACAGCGGUAUAAAUGUUAUCGCCGCAGUAUUUUUAGAUCGCGCUGCAGGAGGCAAACACAACACAGUUCCUUACUCUGUUAAAUAAGAAGUCCUCAUUAAGGCAUGAUCCAAGACCAUGAUCCAGGACCAUGAUCCAGGACCAUGAUCCAGGACCAUGUAACAGACAGAAAAAGGUCAGCUC